rnacentral:lncRNA from 1 species
UUGCCCGCCGCUCACCUCCUGCUGUGUGGACUGGUUCCUCACCAGAGGUUGGGAGCCUGUGGUCUAGGGUAUGCUUCUACCAGCAUACAUGCUCUCACUGGCACUCAUUAUUGUCCAGCUUUUACGUUUCUACCAACCUGAUGGGUGUGAAGUGGUAUUUCUGUGUUUUAAUGUGUGUACUCUGAUGGAUGUGAAGUGGUAUUUCUGUGUUUUAACGUGUGUACCCUGAUGGGUGUGAGGUGGUAUUUCUGCAUUUUAACGUGUGUACCCUGAUGGGUGUCAGGUGGUAUUUCUGCAUUUUAACAUGUGUACCCUGAUGGGUGUGAGGUGGUAUUUCUGUGUUUUAAGGCGUGUACCCUGAUGGGUGUGAAGUGGUAUUUCUGUGUUUUAAGGCGUGUACCCUGAUGGGUGUGAAGUGGUAUUUCUGUGUUUUAAGGCAUGUACCCUGAUGGGUGUGAGGUGGUAUUUCUGUGUUGUAACGUGUGUACCCUGAUGGGUGUGAGGUGGUAUUUCUGUGUUGUAACAUGUGUACCCUGAUGGGUGUGAAGUGGUAUUUCUGUGUUUUAAUGUGUGUACCCCGAUGGGUGUGAAGUGGUAUUUCUGUGUUUUAAGGCGUGUACCCUGAUGGGUGUGAGGUGGUAUUUCUGCAUUUUAACGUGUGUACCCUGAUGGGUGUGAGGUGGUAUUUCUGCAUUUUAACGUGUGUACCCUGAUGGGUGUGAGGUGGUAUUUCUGUGUUUUAAGGCGUGUACCCCGAUGGGUGUGAAGUGGUAUUUCUGUGUUUUAAGGUGUGUACCCUGAUGGGUGUGAGGUGGUAUUUCUGUGUUUUAAGGUGUGUACCCUGAUGGGUGUGAAGUGGUAUUUCUGUGUUUUAAUUUGUGUACCCUGAUGGGUGUGAAGUGGUAUUUCUGUGUUUUAAUUUGUGUACCCUGAUGGGUGUGAAGUGGUAUUUCUGUGUUGUAACAUGUGUACCCUGAUGGGUGUGAGGUGGUAUUUCUGUGUUUUAAUGUGUGUAACCUGAUGGGUGUGAGGUGGUAUUUCUGUGUUGUAAUGUGUGUACCCUGAUGGGUGUGAGGUGGUAUUUCUGUGUUGUAAUAUGUGUACCCUGAUGGGUGUGAGGUGGUAUUUCUGUGUUGUAAUGUGUGUACCCUGAUGGGUGUGAGGUGGUAUUUCUGUGUUGUAAUGUGUGUACCCUGAUGGGUGUGAGGUGGUAUUUCUGUGUUGUAAUGUGUGUACCCUGAUGGGUGUGAGGUGGUAUUUCUGUGUUUUGUGUACCCUGAUGGGUGUGAGGUGGUAUUUCUGUGUUUUAAUGUGUGUACCACUUAUACCAAGUGAGGUUUAGCAGCUUCCCAUGUAGUUUCCCAUGUUGCCAUUAAGCAUUUGAGUUUUCUCAUCUGUAAUUUGUAUAUUCAUAUUCUUUGCCAAUUUUUCUAUUGCACUAUUUGGGGUUUUAAAAAUUCAUUAGUGGCUGGGCGUGGUGGCUCACGCCUGUAAUCCCAGCACUUUGGGAGGCCAAGGCAGGUGGAUCACAAGGCCAGGAGUUCGAGACCAGUCUGGCCAACAUAGUGAAACCCC